UGGGAAGUAUUGGACAAUGGGCGCAAGCCUGAUCCAGCCAUGCCGCGUGUGUGAAGAAGGCCUUAGGGUUGUAAAGCACUUUCAGUGGGGAGGAAGGGUGUUGUGUUAAUAGCACGGCAUUUUGACGUUACCCACAGAAGAAGCACCGGCUAACUCCGUGCCAGCAGCCGCGGUAAUACGGAGGGUGCAAGCGUUAAUCGGAAUUACUGGGCGUAAAGCGCACGCAGGCGGCUUUUUAAGUCGGAUGUGAAAGCCCCGGGCUCAACCUGGGAAUUGCAUCUGAUACUGGGAAGCUAGAGUAUGUGAGAGGGGGGUAGAAUUCCAAGUGUAGCGGUGAAAUGCGUAGAGAUUUGGAGGAAUACCAGUGGCGAAGGCGGCCCCCUGGCACAAUACUGACGCUCAGGUGCGAAAGCGUGGGGAGCAAAACAGGAUUAGAUACCCUGGUAGUCCACGCCGUAAACGAUGUCUACUAGAUGUUCGUGGUCUUGUACCGUGAGUAUCGCAGCUAACGCAUUAAGUAGACCGCCUGGGGAGUACGGUCGCAAGAUUAAAAACUC
rnacentral:rRNA from 1 species